CUUUUAAUGAUCGAUUGAUCAGUAAUCCGUCAUUCUCCUGGUGUUGCAGCUCCUGAAUUCCAUAAGCUCCUCUGAGCUGAGUCAGUUCCUCAGUCAACCUGAUGUGGUUGGCAACGGUUCCAACAUAUGUGCUGUCUUCAACAACUACGCCAAGACGCCUGUCUUCCUGGAAACAGAGGAUGUCCCUGAUGCUGUGAAGCAGCUGACCCUUCCCUGUGUCUGGUCGUUAGCUCUGAACAGCGGCAAUAGGUCAGAGGUGAAUGCCUGGUUUGACCUCAGACUGAAGAACUACUUGAGGUUCCUUACCAGGAGCCUCGUCAGCUCAUCUAAAGUGCAAAACGCCAGCUGUCUCGCAUUCCAGAAAAUAGUCUCAGUCCUUGGAAGCGAUUUCAGCUACAACAGCUCUGACUUUGCACAGAGUGAUGUGUACAUCACCAUUAAGUCCUACCUGGGCACAGGUGGACCUAGGUGCUACAGCGCAAACGACCCAGAGCUGAACUCUACCGCCUGGUUUGUGAACUACAUCGGUGUUUUUGUGACCUACCUCUCUCUGGAGGACCUCAACACCUUUGUUACCGCGAGUCAGAUCAAUGUAUUCUUGGAGAACCAGGCCAAUAUCAAGCUCUUCAACAACACGGCUAUACCUGCUAACGUCACUUCCUACUACAUCACACAGCUAUACACACUGAACCCCACGUUCAACCCUCUGCAACUGCCUGGCUUCUCCUGUGUGAGGUCCCAAGUCGGCCUACAAC
rnacentral:lncRNA from 1 species